UACGGAGGAUGCAAGCGUUAUCCGGAAUGAUUGGGCGUAAAGCGUCCGCAGGUGGCUGUGUAAGUCUGCUGUCAAAGAGCAAAGCUCAACUUUGUAAAGGCAGUGGAAACUACACGGCUAGAGUGCGUUCGGGGCAGAGGGAAUUCCUGGUGUAGCGGUGAAAUGCGUAGAGAUCAGGAAGAACACCGGUGGCGAAGGCGGUUGCCUGGAGCUUUGCUGACGCUGAUGCGCGAAAGCGUGGGGAGCGAUCCGG
rnacentral:rRNA from 1 species